rnacentral:rRNA from 1 species
GAUGAACGCUGGCGGCGUGCCUAAUACAUGCAAGUCGAGCGAACGGACGAGAAGCUUGCUUCUCUGAUGUUAGCGGCGGACGGGUGAGUAACACGUGGAUAACCUACCUAUAAGACUGGGAUAACUUCGGGAAACCGGAGCUAAUACCGGAUAAUAUUUUGAACCGCAUGGUUCAAAAGUGAAAGACGGUCUUGCUGUCACUUAUAGAUGGAUCCGCGCUGCAUUAGCUAGUUGGUAAGGUAACGGCUUACCAAGGCAACGAUGCAUAGCCGACCUGAGAGGGUGAUCGGCCACACUGGAACUGAGACACGGUCCAGACUCCUACGGGAGGCAGCAGUAGGGAAUCUUCCGCAAUGGGCGAAAGCCUGACGGAGCAACGCCGCGUGAGUGAUGAAGGUCUUCGGAUCGUAAAACUCUGUUAUUAGGGAAGAACAUAUGUGUAAGUAACUGUGCACAUCUUGACGGUACCUAAUCAGAAAGCCACGGCUAACUACGUGCCAGCAGCCGCGGUAAUACGUAGGUGGCAAGCGUUAUCCGGAAUUAUUGGGCGUAAAGCGCGCGUAGGCGGUUUUUUAAGUCUGAUGUGAAAGCCCACGGCUCAACCGUGGAGGGUCAUUGGAAACUGGAAAACUUGAGUGCAGAAGAGGAAAGUGGAAUUCCAUGUGUAGCGGUGAAAUGCGCAGAGAUAUGGAGGAACACCAGUGGCGAAGGCGACUUUCUGGUCUGUAACUGACGCUGAUGUGCGAAAGCGUGGGGAUCAAACAGGAUUAGAUACCCUGGUAGUCCGCGCCGUAAACGAUGAGUGCUAAGUGUUAGGGGGUUUCCGCCCCUUAGUGCUGCAGCUAACGCAUUAAGCACUCCGCCUGGGGAGUACGACCGCAAGGUUGAAACUCAAAGGAAUUGACGGGGACCCGCACAAGCGGUGGAGCAUGUGGUUUAAUUCGAAGCAACGCGAAGAACCUUACCAAAUCUUGACAUCCUUUGACAACUCUAGAGAUAGAGCCUUCCCCUUCGGGGGACAAAGUGACAGGUGGUGCAUGGUUGUCGUCAGCUCGUGUCGUGAGAUGUUGGGUUAAGUCCCGCAACGAGCGCAACCCUUAAGCUUAGUUGCCAUCAUUAAGUUGGGCACUCUAAGUUGACUGCCGGUGACAAACCGGAGGAAGGUGGGGAUGACGUCAAAUCAUCAUGCCCCUUAUGAUUUGGGCUACACACGUGCUACAAUGGACAAUACAAAGGGCAGCGAAACCGCGAGGUCAAGCAAAUCCCAUAAAGUUGUUCUCAGUUCGGAUUGUAGUCUGCAACUCGACUACAUGAAGCUGGAAUCGCUAGUAAUCGUAGAUCAGCAUGCUACGGUGAAUACGUUCCCGGGUCU